AAUAGUCACUCCAUGCUCUUAUCUCUGCAUGAAGACAAGUAACAUAUUACUUGUUUUUAGCUUACUAUUUUUACUUUAUUUUCUUGUACUGUCCUUUAAUUUCUCAGCUAUUUUCUUGAACCUCUCUCUCCCAUCAGUUAGUUUCCAGCAAUUCAUUUUCCAUCCUUUACUUUCAUUGCACCCAUUUAUUUCAAUUUUAGCCUUUUGUUCACAUCUCAAGUUCAAUUAUCAUAUUUAAGGUUCAUUGCAUUUUCUGCUUCACUCAAUCCGGGUCAAGUUUGUGGAAUUCACCCAUCUGAAUGCACCCACAGAUACUACUACAUAAAUCAAAGUUUAAAAGGCCAUCUAGAGUUAAAAUUAAAUCUUGCACAUAUCAAAGUUACACAAGUAACAAAGAUGAGAGGUCGAAGUAGCCAUUCAGGAUAAAUUGGGGCAAAUUAUUAAAGAAACAUUCACCUGAAUUCGAUAUUUUUUUUAUUAAAUGUAGCAAUAAACUGAGAACAAUGAAGGAAUAGAACUGUAUAGCUGACCCUAAUUAGAUUGGAUAAGGAUUUGUUGAGUUGAGGAAGUUAAAGGAGGCAAAAACAAAAACCUUUCAUCCUUGUUGCAAAUAUGUUUCUGGAGAUGGGCAAAUAGAAAAUAAUUAUAACUGCAAUUGACUAUUUGUAGAAGAAUAAUGAGGAUAUCAUAGAGCAAAAAUUUGUAUGGUCCUUACACUUUGUAUGAUACAUAGGCUAAA
rnacentral:misc_RNA from 1 species